rnacentral:snRNA from 1 species
AAAUUUGGGGUAGUCUUGUUAGAUCAAGAGUGUGAUUGACCCACUUCCUGCCUCACUGGUCCAUGUGUGCCCCUCCUGAAGCUGUGUGGUCUGUCAAAGAGGUUGACCUUCCUGGAAUAGAGAAGGACUGGUCUUCAGUCAAGGGUAUACCAGUAGCUGCACUCCCCUGCUAGAACCUCCAAACAAGAGUGUCAUUGACUAACAGUAUGCUGUAAAAAUAUUGGGAAAUAGUAUUCACAGAAAGUAGAGACUGAGAAAGAUCCCAAAAGUCUCUAUUU